rnacentral:misc_RNA from 1 species
GAUGAAGAACGCAGUGAAAUGCGAUAAGUAAUGUGAAUUGCAGAAUUCAGUGAAUCAUCGAAACUUUGAACGCACAUUGCGCCCGCCAGUAUUCUGGCGGGCAUGCCUGUUCGAGCGUCAUUUCAACCAUCAAGCCCCCGGCUUGUGUUGGGGACCUGCGGCUGCCGCAGGCCCUGAAAAGCAGUGGCGGGCUCGCUGUCACACCGAGCGUAGUAGCAUACAUCUCGCUCUGGGCGUGCUGCGGGUUCCGGCCGUUAAACCACCUUCAUAACCCAAGGUUGACCUCGGAUCAGGUAGGAAGACCCGCUGAACUUAAGCAUAUCAAUAAGCGGAGGA